ensembl:processed_transcript 4931406G06Rik RIKEN cDNA 4931406G06 gene
GAGUGUAGUCUGUCGUCUCCGAGCGUGUGGCUGCAAUGCGUCUUCUGCGCUUACACGAGGCUGUUACGUGUGGACGCCUCCCUCCCACUCAGCGCCUGCAGGAGUUCCUGGUGGAGGGACACAGGAUGCUAGUAAAUAACUGUGACAACAUAGCUUCUGUUGUUUGGCAUUGGGGAGAUUUUAAAGUAAGAAAAGUCAGGAAAGUCACUGGUGAGGCUAGAAAUGUUAUCAAUACUGUAUGACUUUAAAGACGAGUCCCUGUUGAAAAGAGCCACAUCCAAGAAUGAGAUGCACACACACGUUUGCCAGCCUUUGUGCAUGGGGCUGCCUUCCCUUCUGCUGUGGAUGAGCAAACUCUGCUCCCGGGAGGGACGCCUGGCCUCAGUAUUGAUGUGAAGCCUCUGCAGCCCACAGAUAGGCAGGUACUUGGUGGGGAAGGUGCUGGAGCCACAUAGGGAGAGCUUCAAGUCUUGGACCAGAGUGAACUUCAGCACGUGGCCCAAUGUGGAUAUAUCUGUGAACCAGAUGGUCAGAUGGCCAUGAUAGCUGGUCUGCUCCAUGGCAGAAGGCAGGACAGACUUACAGCUGCACAUCAAGUUAGCCAAACUGUAGUCACAGUCCCUGAUGUCUACUGGACAGUUGCAGUUGCGAAUGGUAUUUCCCUUUGUGAAAAUCAGUGUGUUGUUCUGACCUUUUGUGAAAUGACCAAGGGCAAAGAUGCCUAGCGCUCGGAGCAGGAGGAGGCAGAAGCUGGAAGGUGGUGUCAUUCUUGUCCUGUUUCUCCCUCAUGAGCCAGUCCAUUGUAGGUCACCUGAAAGGAAACCGAAGCGUUAGUACCACUGCCUCCUUAGAAGCUCACACCCAGUCUGAAAGCUGUCCGAGAGCAGUUGUAAACAUCCCUGCCUUGCAUGUCUUAUCGAGGCAGGCAGGACUUUAAUCUUGGCUCUUCAUGAGAAGCAGCAGCAGGACUUCUCAACUGUGCUCAGUCGAGGCAUAAAAUUCCCAGUGCUAUGUGCUGACAGCACGGCUAACAUCCCGAGAGAGCUGGGCUGAUGUCAGCAGUGGGGCGACCACAUCCUAUCUAACCUCGGGGACUUGGAGUUACUUCAGCAAGCAUGCCCCGCCAACACCCAGUUCCCGCCUACCUGCGCAUGUACAGCCCCCAGCAAGCACAUGCCCUCCUCCCACUCUGUAUCUGACUUCCUGGAGCCCAAAGACAGGCAGUUCCUUGU